rnacentral:rRNA from 1 species
GACGAACGCUGGCGGCGUGCUUAACACAUGCAAGUCGAACGGAAAGGCCCUGCUUUUGUGUGGUGCUCGAGUGCCGAACGGGUGAGUAACACGUGAGUAACCUGCCCUUGUCUUUGGGAUAACUUCAGGAAACUGGGGCUAAUACCGGAUAGGAGCUCCUGCUGCAUGGUGUGGGUUGGAAAGUUUCGGCGGUUGGGGAUGGUCUCGCGGGUUAUCAGCUUGUUGGGGGGGUAGUGGCUUACCAAGGCUGUGACGGGUAGCCGGCCUGAGAGGUUGACCGGGCACAUGGCGACUAAGAGACGGAGCAGAAUCCUAUGGGACGCAGCAGUGGGGAGUAUUGCACAAUGGGCGGAAGCCAGAGGCAGCAACGCCGGGAGCGUGAUGACGGCCUUCGGGUUGUGAACCGAUGUGGAAGGUGAUGAAGAGAGAGUGACGGUAAUGGGUAAGGAAGCACCGGCUAACUACGUG